rnacentral:misc_RNA from 1 species
GAAAUGCGAUAAGUAAUGUGAAUUGCAGAAUUCAGUGAAUCAUCGAAUCUUUGAACGCACCUUGCGCCCGCCAGUAUUCUGGCGGGCAUGCCUGUCCGAGCGUCAUUUCAACCAUCAAGCCCCCGGGCUUGUGUUGGGGACCUGCGGCUGCCCGCAGGCCCUGAAAACCAGUGGCGGGCUCGCUGUCACACCGAGCGUAGUAGCAAUCACCUCGCUCAGGGCGUGCUGCGGGUUCCGGCCGUUAAACAGCCUUACAAAACCCAAGGUUGACCUCGGAUCAGGUAGGAAGACCCGCUGAACUUAAGC